CCUGUGUUAGUGGUACAGAAACCUGGAUGGUUAGGUGGCGAUUACUCUGGUCAGCGAAGUGAGAGAGCAUCUCCGUGGGAAGAAGAGGCGGCGGAAGAAGCGAUUUGCAGGUCCGGAUGGAAAGGAGAGGAAGCAGAUGGAUUUCCCCCUAGAUCCGAUUGCCGGAGCGCCGGUGCACGAGGGUGCCGGCGAGAACUUUGAGCCCUUAUUUCUCGAUACGGAGGGGAUAGUGCAGCCCGCGGACGGCGAGGUGUCCGCUGUGGUGGCGGAGUAGUUGCAGCAGCAGAAUCGGCGCUGGGGCUACAGCAGGGUGUUCUGUAGGUUGGAGGAGAUGGAGUUCAGUCAGGCAGUUCAGGGGGCAGCGGGAACAAAGAAUCAACACAGUCCGUAGUGCGCCCAGAUCCGAAAGCUCCUGGGUGGUCGAAAAGGCUUAGGGUGGGCAAAGCACCACUUGAAAGGGCACCUUGUCCAGGGAGAAUGGGCGCGCUCGAGCAUACAGUGAGAGAUUUUGCCGAGAACCCAUCAGAGAAUGUCAUAAAGGUAAAACUUGGGAUGAGCUUCAACUCGCUUAAUGAAGCAUAUGAUUUCUACAAUCUGUAUUCUUGGGAGAAUGGGCGCGCUCGAGCAGACAUUGAGAGAUUUUGCCGAGAACCCGUCGGAGAAUGUCAUAAAGGUAGAACUUGGGAUGAGCUUCGACUCGCUUAACGAAGCAUAUGAUUUCUAUCAUCUGUAUUCUUGAGAGAAUGGUUUUGGUAUAUGGUAUGGCAAGAGCCAUCUGAAUGUUGUGAGGGCAAAGUGUAUGCAAGAGAUAGUCUGCGGUUGUUCGGUGAGAUAACUGUAAUUUCAUUGUUGACAGGUUACUGUUGGUAGUGGUUUUGAUGUCAUGCUAAACCUGGUAACACGAGUUACAUGUUUCAGGGGGAAGCCGGAGAAAGAUCAUACAAGGUCGUGCAGGUGUGAGUGCCCCGCCUUGAUUGGUUUGCUCAGGACUGGAGACAAUGGGUGUUUCAUCGCGGAGCACUGGGUAUCACACAACCACUCUUUUUCUCGAACUUGUGGGGUGAAAGUGCACUGGCCAUCGCACAAGCAUAUAGACAUGUACACCAAAAACCUAGUGAAGCAGCUUAAGGAAAAUAACAUAGACAUAGGCAAGGUGUAUGCAAUAGUGGGUAGUUUCUUUGGGGGGUAUGGAGAAUGUUCCUUUCACAAAGAAAUCACUAAAAACAUUGUGUGGUAAGAUAAGUCGAGAUCAGGCUGAACGAUGACGUACACAAAACUAUGCAAGUAUUUUCCGAGAUGGCAACGAAAGAUCCUGAGUUCACGUUUCGAGUACAGACAGACGGCGAAAGCCGCAUCAAGAACCUCAUGUGGGCGAACAAAUAUUUUGGUGAUGUACUGACCUUCGACACGACAUACAAAACGAAUUUGUAUGACAUGCCAUUUGGUUUGUUCGUCGGGGUUAAUAAUCACUUCCAUAGUAUCAUAUUAGCUGGUGUGAUGGUUAGGGAUGAGCAGGUCGAGAGCUUCAGGUGGGUAUUCACAGAAUUUAUAGCCAUGAUGGGAGGCUGUGCUCUGCGGAUAAUCCUGACAGGGUUUUUUUUUAACCCAAAGUGGAGUAUAAAUGUGAAAAUGUUUUUGUCAAUGGAAAAUGAUGUUGACAUAUGUUGUGAUGAUUUCCUAUGGAACUCUGAAAUGCAGAUCAGUGUAGAGCCAUGGAGGUCGCCAUAAAGAAAGUAAUGCCUUGGCACAACACACAGGUGAGUUCAUCAAGAGGAUGAUGACUUUCGAGCAUCUUGCGUACAAGCUGCAAUGGAUGAAGAAGCUGAUGCUCCCGUUCUACCACCAGGAUAGCUACAGCCUGUAUGUGCUGGACACCGAUCAGAAGCAUGUCCUCAUCAUGGACCCAACAGAGUCGAGUUCUCCACUGAUCGAUCUGAAUCGUAAACAUGAAGUGCUGGCAGUCAGAAUUGUGAAGAACUUGAGGAAAUGCUUAAAUGCAGUUUUCAAUGACUAGCAAGUGCCAGGCGGCCUGUGAAACUUCGAAUACAACCUGGAUCGAAAAAGCGCUGGCGCUAUUUGGGGCGUGUCGGUGUAAGCCCAUUUUCGAUGACGGCCCCCAAAACGCUAUCGGGGCCGCUAUGGGGGGCGCCGGUGGAGAUGCUCUUAGGGCAAGACAUUUGAUAAGUUGAAAUGCAUGCAUUUUAUUUUUAUGGAAAGACACAUACAUGUACCACAAUGUUUUCUUCUAUGUGAUGCAAACAAGUACUGUAAGAGUGAUAUUCGCAUACA